UACGAAGGGGGCUAGCGUUGCUCGGAAUCACUGGGCGUAAAGGGUGCGUAGGCGGGUUUUUAAGUCAGAGGUGAAAUCCUGGAGCUCAACUCCAGAACUGCCUUUGAUACUGGGAAUCUUGAGUAUGGAAGAGGUGAGUGGAACUGCGUGUGUAGAGGUGAAAUUCGUAGAUAUUCGCAAGAACACCAGUGGCGAAGGCGGCUCACUGGUCCAUAACUGACGCUGAGGCACGAAAGCGUGGGGAGCAAACAGG
rnacentral:rRNA from 1 species